CCUGACCUCUCUCUUGCUGAAACUUUAUCUCUCUCUCUAUCUCUUUGUAAUCUAACAUGUACACCUCUCUCUUAUCUUCUCCAUCUCUUCCACUUAAGAUGAAACUGAAACUACCAAACCCUAACCUUGAAUCUACCAAUCCAUCACCCCGAGUACACCACCACUACCAUCUUGUUCUUCUAUAUCUCCUUUCAGUCACCAUCAACACACGACCACCGGCAGCUUAAUAAUACCCAAAAACCCUAAACCCAAAUCUCAUCUUUAAAGUUUCAGAUUCUCGGCAAUACCAAAAGAAAGAAAAAACACUUCCAAAUUUUUUUCCCAACCCUAGAUUUCAAAUGGCCAGAAGUUUCGUUUUUCUCUUCCUCUCUCUGAAAAAUUCUAGGGCGUGAUUUUGCUUCAUGGCGGAGAUUGCAAUAACUAAUACAGACACUUCAUAUCGAUUGUCGAGGAGAGAGAAGAGAUAUCUAAAGUUUCAGUUGAAUCUGUUGAUGUUUCAAUUGGAAGAAGAAACUCCAGUUGGAUCAAAUGAUAUUGGUUCGAAUUAUGAUUUUGAAGAAAUUGGACCAGUAAUUAAAGGAAAUGUAUUCCUAAGGUUCCAGGAAAUUUUAAAGUUGUUGAUCUGAGUUUGACUGGUGUUGAACCAAGAGUCUAUGGUAAUGGAGUUUACAUAGGGUUGAGGAGUUCAGGAAAUUGGCGAGAUCAUGUCGAGAUGGAAAAGCACUUGCAUGGCAGGUGACAAUUACAAAACUCUGACCAUAGCAGCUUGAACUCACCACAACAGCUAGCAGAAUGAAUUCCACAUGGUGGUGAUCCUUGCGGAGGCACUGGCUCGCCUGUUAAUAAUUUAUAAGUACUUGUGUUUCGCAUUGUAGGAGCUAUUGGAUACACUCACUGGAUCCUCUUCAUGGAAGACAUUGUGACUUACAAAUUCACUUACUUGAAUUCCCUGGAUAUGGUGCGUAACCUACAAAUCCCUUGGUUGUUUUUCCCUUAGGAAAAAAAUUGUCAGUGUAUAUUUAGUUAAGGCUAAGGAUCUGUAAGUAAUUCAUUACUUGAAUUUAUGACAACAAGUGUAUCUGAAUGAUUAGUUUUUGAUUUGGAUCCUGAACACCAAAUUAAGAUCAUCAGUAUACUAUCAACCAGAGUAUUCCCUUCCUUGUUCAUGCACAAUAUGUAAGUCAAUUCUCCCUUCCCUUAUUUUCUCGGGUGGCAGUUUCUGAACCAAUGAUCAGUUUUUGAUUAGGUGUAAAAUUCUGCACCGUUUAUAAUGUUCGACAGUUCCAAUAUAAUCGACUAGUAUAGAUCUUAAUCUUUCUAGAUGAUAUAUGGUCAUCCUUGGUGCUCAUUGUUGUUGUUAUUGCUGUUGUAGAGAACACUCGAGCAGCCUACCGCGAUGUAUCUUUUAUUUUUGACAGUGUCAUUGACUAGUAGUAUUGUGGCCAUGUAUUUGCAGAUGUGCUUUAACUGAAGUAUUCUUUGUGUUGGAGCCUUUUUUUCAGGUUUCAAGUGGAAGCUUACUUCUUCAAAAAGGAGGAUGAAACUGCUGCUGAUAUUGCUCUUGCGGACAUGCUAUUGUGUCCAUGUACUUGCAGAUGUGCUUUAACUAAAGUAUCCUUUGUGUUGGAGCCCUUUUUUCCAGGUUUUAAGUGGAAGCUUACUUCAUCACAAAGGAGGAUGAAACUGUUGCUGGCAUUGCUCUUGCGGACAUGCUAUUCAAAGAAUUCAAUCUAUACUAGUGUUGUUUACCGAUUUGUUUUUUUUUAUGUUUAUACAAUUGAAGUUAGUGAGUGUGUUUUGAAAGUUUUGAUAUGUUAAACCGGGGUAAUACUUAAAUGUUGAAGUUGUAAACGGAAUCCACCUUUUAAUAUAAAUGUUAAUUUUGUUUCCAUAUAAUAAUUUUAGUUUUAAUUUUGAU